CGCAUCUGUGCAUGCAGCAUAUCAAUAAGCGGAGGAAAAGAAACUAACAAGGAUUCCCCUAGUAACGGCGAGUGAAGCGGGAAGAGCUCAAAUUUGAAAUCUUAAAGGGUUUCCCUUUACGAAUUGUAGUUUAAAGAAGUGUUUUCUGUUAGUGAGUUGGCUAAAAGUUCUUUGGAAUAGGACAUCAUAGAGGGUGAGAAUCCCGUAUUUGACCUUUACUUUCAACUUUGUGAUACACUUUCAAAGAGUCGGAUUGUUUGGGAAUGCAGUCCAAAAUGGGUGGUAAAUUUCAUCUAAAGCUAAAUAUUGGCGAGAGACCGAUAGCGAACAAGUACCGUGAGGGAAAGAUGAAAAGAACUUUGAAAAGAGAGUUAAACAGUACGUGAAAUUGUCAAAAGGGAAGCGUUUGACACCAGUGUUGUUUUUCUGAAAAUCAAUUAAAGAACUGUUUAUGCUAAGUUGUUUAGACUUUAUCAGCUAACUGUUUAGUUUUGAGCUUUUCUUUAAUGCACUUUUCAGUUAACAAGUCAACAUCAAUUUCUUUUGCUGUAAAAAAGCUUGAGGAAGGUGGCUUGAGAUUCGUCUUAAGUGUUUAUAGCCUCUUGCCUAUGCAGUCGGAGAGAUUGAGGUCUGCAGCGUAGAUCCUUCGGGGCUAAAUGCAUUUGUGCUAAGUUAUAACAUUUUAUAGACAACUUGUUGACUAUGAUUUGUCUUGUAGCUUACUCGCUUAUGUUAUUUUACCUACGCUUAGGAUGUUGAGCGCAUGUCUCUCUCU
rnacentral:rRNA from 1 species